CAAUCUUAAAGAAUAAAUCUAAAAGUCAAUUUUUUUUUACUAAAAAAUUAUUAGUUCUCAAUUAAAAAAAAUAGUAUUCUCUUUUUUUCUCACCUCUAACAUAUAUUUUUUAUCGUUAUGUACUAUAUAGCUAUAUGAUACAUACUAAAUGAUCGUGUCGUAGUACAUUGAAAUUAAUCCUAUUCACUACUAUGUAGAUAGGGUUAGUCGGAAUUAUAUCCACAG
rnacentral:lncRNA from 1 species